rnacentral:rRNA from 1 species
AACGAACGCUGGCGGCAGGCUUAACACAUGCAAGUCGAACGGGUGUAGCAAUACAUCAGUGGCAGACGGGUGAGUAACACGUGGGAACCUUCCUAGAGGUACGGAACAACUCAGGGAAACUUGAGCUAAUACCGUAUACGCUCUUGCGAGGAAAGAUUUAUCGCCUUUAGACGGGCCCGCGUCGGAUUAGCUAGUUGGUGGGGUAACGGCCUACCAAGGCGACGAUCCGUAGCUGAUCUGAGAGGAUGAUCAGCCACACUGGGACCGAGACACGGCCCAGACUCCUACGGGAGGCAGCAGUGGGGAAUCUUGGACAAUGGGCGCAAGCCUGAUCCAGCCAUGCCGCGUGAGUGAAGAAGGCCUUCGGGUUGGUAAAGACUCUUUUGUCCAGGGACGGA